rnacentral:lncRNA from 1 species
GCCUAGAGGGUAGCUGAGGAACAAAUGGAAGCUGCAGCAGGACAAAGACCCAGCCAGUACUAAAAGCUGGGUCCAUGAACAGCUUCUUGAAAUGGUGUGUGGUCGUGCUUAGCUGAGCAUGCUGUGGGACUCAUGAUGUUGGAAAAUGAGGGGGCAAUGAAGACUUAAAGAUGGGAUGGAAAAACAGCUAAAAAAAACAAAACAGAAGGGGAACAAGAAACAAAACAGAAAAAAAGCUGGCCACGGUAGCUCAUGCCUGUAAUCCCAGCAAUUCAGGAGGCCAAGGUGGGAGAAUCACUUGAGGUAAGAAGGUUGAGACCAGCCUGGGCAACAUAGCAAGAUCCUUGUCUCUACAAAAUUAAAAAAAAAAUUAGCUGGGCAUGAUGGCACACAUCUGUAGUCCCAGCCAUUCAGGAGGCUAAGGUGGGAGGAUCACUGGAGUCCUGGAGCUCAAAGGUGCAGCAAGGUAUGAUUAUGCCACCGCACCCCAGCCUGGGCAACACAACCAGACCUUGUCUCAGAAAAAAAACAAAAAAAAAUGGGGGCAGGUAGAGAAAAAAGUAUUUCCAGAAUUUUUUACAAUUAAAACAUAUAUCUAGCUAUUAAAAGUAAUGACAGCAAAAAGAUUUCCAAACUUCUUGAAAUGGUGUGUGGUCGUGCUUAGCUGAGCAUGCUGUGGGACUCAUGAUGUUGGAAAAUGAGGGGGCAAUGAAGACUUAAAGAUGGGAUGGAAAAACAGCUAAAAAAAACAAAACAGAAGGGGAACAAGAAACAAAACAGAAAAAAAGCUGGCCACGGUAGCUCAUGCCUGUAAUCCCAGCAAUUCAGGAGGCCAAGGUGGGAGAAUCACUUGAGGUAAGAAGGUUGAGACCAGCCUGGGC